ensembl:lncRNA
CACCAACUGGGAGAAAAUAUUGGCAAAUCAUAUAUCUGACAAGGGGUUAAUCUCCAAAAUAUUUAAAGAACUCAUACAACUCAGCAACAAUAAAACAAACAACCCAAUCAAAAGAUGGGCAGAGGAUAUGAACAGAUGUUUUUCCAAAGAAGAUAUACAGAUGGCCAAUAAGCACGUGCAAAGAUGUUCAGCAUUGCUAAUCAUCAGCGAAAUGCAAAUCGAAACUACAAUUUGAUAUCACCUUACACCUGUUAGAAUGGUUAUAAUUACCAAGACAAAAACCAACAAAUGUUGGAGAAGAUGUGGGGAAAAGGGAACCUCCAUACACUGCUGGUGGGAAUGCAAAUUGGUGCAGUCACUAUGGAAGAAAGCAUGGAGAGUUCUCAAAAAAUUAAAAAUAGAAAUACCAUAUGACCCAGCUAUCCCACUACUGCAUAUUUAUCCACAGAACUUGAAAUCAACUAUUUAGAGACUUAUGCACCCCUAUGUACAUUGCAACAUUAUUCUUAAUAGUCAAGACGUGGAAGCAGCCCAAGUGCCCAUCGACUGAUGAACAGAUAAAGGUGUGGUGUAAUAUAUAUAUAUAUACACACACACAAUGGAAUAUUACUCAGCCAUAAAAAAGGACAAAAUCAUCCCAUUUGCAACAACAUGGAUGGAACUCGAGGGUAUUAUGUUAAGCGAAAUAAGCCAGACAAAGACAAACACUGUACAAUUUCACUCAUAUGUGGAAGAUAAAGGAACACAUGGAUAAAGAGAACAGAUUAAUGGUUACCAGAGGGGAAGGGGGUUUAGGGAUAGGCAUAAGGGGUAAAAGGGCACAUAUAUAUGGUGACUGACAAAUAAUAAUAUACACCUGAAAUUUCACAGUGUUAUAAACUAUUAUGACCUUAGUGAAAUAAAAUGAAAUAAAAUAAAAAAAGAAUUUGAGGGUCUGGCGCCAUGGCCCAGUGGUUAAAUUCAUUCACUCCGCUCGGUGGCCCGGGGUUUCACAAGUUCGGAUCCCAGGCGUGGAUGCGGCACUGCUCAUCAGGUCAUACUGAGGCAGCAUCCCACAUCCCACAACCAGAGACACUCACAACUAGAAUAUACAACUAUGUAUUGGGGAGCUUUGGGGAGAAGAAAAAAAAAAAAGAAUUUGAGUUACGAAAACCAAGUAAGCACUCACUUUAACAAACCCCUGGUUCAAUAGUGUUAAUGGACAACGGCAGUGGAAGUUACCAAGUUAAGUGAGCCAGAAAGGAAAAUUCCCGAUGUUCAUGAGAGCUUCAGCUGAAUCAGUGCAUUUUUGUUUCACUAUAAUUCUCCUCUUGUUCCAUCCCUACUGAGGUGACUCACAAGCUACAAAAGUUCUUGGCCAAUUACGUCAGGUUGGCUUUUGUUAGCCCUGAAAGAGAACACCUUUAAUUUAACAAAAGUCAGCUUUAUCGCAGUAUAGUCUACGUAUACUAAAAUUCACCAGUUUAAAAUGUACAGUUUGAUAAGUUUUGACAAAUAUAUAGUCAUGUGACCAUCACUACAAUCAGGAUAGAGAACAUUUUCGUUUCUCCGAAAAGUUUCCUUGUGCCUUUUUGAAGUUAAUCCCCUUCCCUGUCUCCCAGCCCCUAGAAAUCACUCAUCUGUUUUCUGUCACUACGGUUUUGCUUUUUCUAGAAUUUCAUAUAAAUGGAAUCAAAUAGGUGGUAGCCUUUUGUGUCUGACUUCUUUCACUUACAAUGCUUUUGAGAUCACCC